rnacentral:miRNA from 1 species
UCCGCAUUGUUGAUCGGCGAGACGACCUGCUCCACCGUGAGAAAGGCAGCCAGGUUGGCCGUGUACGACGACACCAUGAUGAG